CGCUGAGUUUGAUCCUGGCUCAGGAUGAACACUAGCGGCAGGCUUAACACAUGCAAGUCGAGGGGUAUAGUUCUUCGGAAUUAGAGACCGGCGCACGGGUGCGUAACGCGUAUGCAAUCUACCUUUUACAGAGGGAUAGCCCAGAGAAAUUUGGAUUAAUACCUCAUAGUAUGUGAGAAUCGCAUGGUUUUCACAUUAAAGUUCCAACGGUAAAAGAUGAGCAUGCGUCCCAUUAGCUAGAUGGUAAGGUAACGGCUUACCAUGGCGACGAUGGGUAGGGGUCCUGAGAGGGAGAUCCCCCGACACUGGUACUGAGACACGGACCAGACU
rnacentral:rRNA from 1 species